rnacentral:rRNA from 1 species
AGCGAAUUAGCGUAGGGGAUGAAGGCUACAGCAGCUGUAAAACCCCAGCCCGACAUACUAAAACGAUGAUAUUAUGUGUGAAAAGAAGUCAUGGCUAAUACAUGUGCCAGCAGCCGCGGUAAUACAUGAGUGACUAGCGUUAUUCGCCGUGCUUGGGCGUAUAGGAUGCGUAGGCGGUUAUAGUUUUGUUAACUACUAGAUCCAUUGGUGAAAUUUUAACGAUAACUAUAUACUAGAGUUGGCAGGAAGUUAUUCAAUUCCGUUAAGAAGCGAUGAAAUGCUACUAUUUACCGGGGUUGGCCUAUAUUUGAAAAAAAUAGCUACUGCCCACUGACGCUGAGGCAUGAAAGUGGGGGAAAUCAUCAGGAUUUGAGACCCUGUUAGUCCUCACAGAAAAGAUGGGUGUUAAAAGCUUACGCUAAACACCCCGCCUGGGGAGUAUAGUUGCAAAACCGAAAUUUAACAGAAUUGGCGGGG